CAACUGGGAUUGCCUUAGUAACGGCGAGUGAAGCGGCAAAAGCUCAAAUUUGAAAUCUGGUACCUUUGGUGCCCGAGUUGUAAUUUGGAGAGUACCACUUUGGGACUGUACUUGGCCUAUGUUCCUUGGAACAGGACGUCAUGGAGGGUGAGAAUCCCGUGUGGCGAGGGUGUCAGUUCUUUGUAAAGGGUGCUCGAAGAGUCGAGUUGUUUGGGAAUGCAGCUCUAAGUGGGUGGUAAAUUCCAUCUAAAGCUAAAUACAGGCGAGAGACCGAUAGCGAACAAGUACAGUGAUGGAAAGAUGAAAAGAACUUUGAAAAGAGAGUGAAAAAGUACGUGAAAUUGUUGAAAGGGAAGGGCAUUUGAUCAGACAUGGUGUUUUGCGCCCCUUGCCUCUCGUGGGCUUGGGACUCUCGCAGCUCACUGGGCCAGCAUCGGUUUUGGCGGCCGGAAAAAACCUAGGGAAUGUGGCUCUGCGCCUCGGUGUAGAGUGUUAUAG
rnacentral:rRNA from 1 species